AUUGAACGCUGGCGGCAGGCCUAACACAUGCAAGUCGAGCGAGCGGCGGGCGGGUGAGUAAAGUCUGUGGAACAGUCUGCUGGAGGGGGAGAACUCCUGUAAAAGGUGGCGAUAACACCAUACUCUCACAUGUGCCCAGAUGGGAUUUGCUCGUAGGUGGGGUAACGGCUCACCUAGGCGACGAUCUCUAGCUGGUCUGAGAGGAUGACCAGCCACACUGGAACUGAGACACGGUCCAGACUCCUACGGGAGGCAGCAGUGGGGAAUAUUGCACAAUGGGCGCAAGCCUGAUACAGCCAUGCCGCGUGUGUGAAGAAGGCCUUCGGGUUGUAAAGCACUUUCAGCGGGGAGGCGUUACCCGCAGAAGAAGCACCGGCUAACUCCGUGCCAGCAGCCGCGGUAAUAC
rnacentral:rRNA from 1 species